rnacentral:rRNA from 1 species
CAGUCGCCAGGUAACACGUAGGGUGCGAGCGUUAAUCGGAAUUACUGGGCGUAAAGCGUGCGCAGGCGGUUGUGUAAGACAGGUGUGAAAUCCCCGGGCUUAACCUGGGAACUGCGCUUGUGACUGCACAGCUAGAGUAUGGCAGAGGGGGGUGGAAUUCCACGUGUAGCAGUGAAAUGCGUAGAGAUGUGGAGGAACACCGAUGGCGAAGGCAGCCCCCUGGGCCAAUACUGACGCUCAUGCACGAAAGCGUGGGGAGCAAACAGGAUUAGAUACCCCUGUAGUCCCUGUCUCUUAUACC